UACGUUCCCGGGCCUUGUACACACCGCCCGUCACACCAUGGAAGUUGGUUGUACCGGAAGUUAGUGAGCCAACCCGCAAGGGAAGCAACUACCCAGGGUACGACUGGUAACCGGGGUG
rnacentral:rRNA from 1 species